rnacentral:rRNA from 1 species
GAUGAACGCUGGCGGCGUGCCUAAUACAUGCAAGUCGAGCGAACGGACGAGAAGCUUGCUUCUCUGAUGUUAGCGGCGGACGGGUGAGUAACACGUGGAUAACCUACCUAUAAGACUGGGAUAACUUCGGGAAACCGGAGCUACUACCGGAUAAUAUUUUGAACCGCAUGGUUCAAAAGUGAAAGACGGUCUUGCUGUCACUUAUAGAUGGAUCCGCGCUGCAUUAGCUAGUUGGUAAGGUAACGGCUUACCAAGGCAACGAUGCAUACCCGACCUGAGAGGGUGGUCGGACACACUGGAACAGAGACAGGGUACCGACUCUUACGGGAGGCAGCGGUACGGAAUCUUCCGCGAUGGAGGAGAGCCUGACAGAGCAACGCCGCGUGAGUGAUGAAGGUCUUCUGAUCGGAAAACUCUGUUAUUAGGGAAGAAGAAAUGUGUAAGUAACUGUGCAGAUCUUGACGGUACCUAAUCAGAAAGCCACGGCUAACUACGUG